UACGUAGGGUGCAAGCGUUGUCCGGAAUUAUUGGGCGUAAAGAGCUCGUAGGCGGUUUGUCGCGUCGGCUGUGAAAACUCGGGGCUCAACCCCGAGCCUGCAGUCGAUACGGGCAGACUAGAGUGCGGUAGGGGAGACUGGAAUUCCUGGUGUAGCGGUGAAAUGCGCAGAUAUCAGGAGGAACACCGGUGGCGAAGGCGGGUCUCUGGGCAGUAACUGACGCUGAGGAGCGAAAGCGUGGGAGCGAACAGG
rnacentral:rRNA from 1 species